UAUGAAUCUGAGAAGAUCUAUAUUCUUCCACAAACAAAAUGUCAGCUUUGAAUAAAAACAGAACUAACUCUCAUGUCUUCAUUUUGAUCUUCAAUGCUAUAUAAUCUGCCAUGUGGCAGGUCUCGACCCAGCAUUGGAGCUGAAGGAAGUUAAGAAUUAUUGAAACAUCUUGGCUCAAGCAUUGCCUGUGGAUGAUCACAGAUGCCAUCCCAGGCUGACCUACACAGAACUGCCUCCAAACUUGGAGCUGCAUCGCAGGCCUCUCCUAAAGUUCCAGACUUAUAUAUCCAAUUGCCAGUUGGCCAUCGCUGGAGAUCUUCUUGAGAAACCUCAAAGUAAACAUGUUCCUCAAACCUGCUGCUCCUCUUAAAUUUCCUGUCUCGUCACAUUGUUAUCCACCAAGUCACACUGGUUAAAAUUCUGGGAAUCAGACGAGACUCCUUCUUCUUCUCUCCACCCCAAAGUUCUGUGGAUGCUAAUUCCUUCAUAACUCUAAAAUAGGUAUCUACCUUUCCAUCUUUACUGCCACCCCUGAGAUCAGGCCCGUAUAACUUUUCAUGUGGACAAACGCUCCAGUCAUUUCCUGGUCACUUUGAUUCAUCAUUUCCAAUCUGUCAUCCAAAUAGAAGCCAGAAUGAUUGGUCUAAAUUACAUUAUUCAUCAUGUCAACUGCUGAAAACCCUUUAUUGCCUCUCCAAGCUCUCAGGAUGAAGUCACACUCCUUCGUUUGUCCAGUAGUGACCACAGUCUACUUCUAGCCUUAGCUCAUGCCAUUCUCACAUGCAACCCACACCCCAGCAACACCAAACUACUUCCUACUCCCAAUUGCACCAACUGGAUCUUUUUUGCCACUGUGUUUUCCCAUAUGUUUUUCCCUCCACAUGGAGACCAUUUCUCUCCUGUCUCCACCUGGUUCAUUACUACAGGCUGUCAAUAAUGUACCCAAAGGUUAAACUCUUCCCCAUGCUGUCCUCUCCCAGUGGGCCUGUGUACGCCUGCUUGUCGGCCUCCCUGAACAGUCUCCUUUGUUAGCCAACAGACAAAAUGCAUUAUUAAUUAAUGCCUAGCACAGUCACUAGCACUUACCAGCACUCCAUAAAUGCUUGCUGAGAUAAUGAAUGAAUAAAUACACCCCUCUUCAUGGAUACAGCUUGCAGAAUCUUGCUUUCCCUUGCUUGUAGCCCACUGGAAUGUAUGUAAUCUUUGUAUAAAAAUGUGCUGAGAACGAACCAUAAUAUUUUAAAGAUAGUCCAACC
rnacentral:lncRNA from 10 species